UGGGUACGUGAGGUGGUUGACCAGAGAGCACACGCUUGUAUUUGUGCCGUUUGUGACCUGGUCCACUAACCCUCAGUAUCUA
rnacentral:miRNA from 1 species